rnacentral:rRNA from 1 species
CAGUAGCCGCGGUAAUACGAAGGGGGCUAGCGUUGUUCGGAUUUACUGGGCGUAGAGGGCGCGUAGGCGGGCGAUUAAGUCAGGGGUGAAAUCCCAAGGCUCAACCUUGGAACUGCCUUUGAUACUGAUUGUCUUGAGUUCGAGAGAGGUAAGUGGAACUGCGAGUGUAGAGGUGAAAUUCGUAGAUAUUCGCAAGAACACCAGUGGCGGAGGCGGCUUACUGGCUCGAUACUGACGCUGAGGCGCGAAAGCGUGGGGAGCAAACAGGAUUAGAUACCCCUGUAGUCCCUGUCUCUUAUAC